rnacentral:rRNA from 1 species
GAUGAACGCUGGCGGCGCGCCUAACACAUGCAAGUCGAACGGCACCCACCCUCGGGUGGAAGCGAGUGGCGAACGGCUGAGUAACACGUGGAGAACCCGCCCCCUCCUCCGGGAUAGCCUCGGGAAACCGUGGGUAAUACCGGAUGACCCCGCAGGGCCGCAUGGCCCCGCGGGCAAAGCCCAGACGGGAGGGGAUGGCUCCGCGGCCCAUCAGGUAGACGGCGGGGUGACGGCCCACCGUGCCGACGACGGGUAGCCGGGUUGAGAGACCGACCGGCCAGAUUGGGACUGAGACACGGCCCAGACUCCUACGGGAGGCAGCAGUGGGGAAUCUUGCGCAAUGGGGGGAACCCUGACGCAGCGACGCCGCGUGCGGGACGAAGGCCCUCGGGUCGUAAACCGCUUUCAGCAGGGAUGAGACAAGACGGUACC